rnacentral:rRNA from 1 species
UACGUAGGGGGCUAGCGUUGUCCGGAUUUAUUGGGCGUAAAGAGCGUGUAGGCGGCCAGAUAGGUCUGCUGUGAAAACUCGAGGCUCAACCUCGAGCUGUCGGCGGAAACCAUCUGGCUAGAGUCCGGAAGAGGAGAGUGGAAUUCCCGGUGUAGCGGUGAAAUGCGCAGAUAUCAGGAGGAACACCAAUUGCGAAGGCAGCUCGCUGGGACGUGACUGACGCUGAGACGCGAAAGCGUGGGGAGCAAACAGG